GCGCCAACUCAUCGUAGGACACACUCACACUUACGGGCAAUUAGGUUUAAAACUUUACCCCACCUGGAUGACAUAUCUCGGAAUGAUAUCUUCAAUUGUCUGGAGGAGAAAAUCUUGCAAGAGCAUUCCACACAGUCUCAUGCCUCAGGAGAAGGAUCCAGCCAAAACCCUGCAGAGGAUAGCAACCAGUGGAGGCAGCCCCCCAACAAAGAGAACAGCACUCAGUGAACUGUUUGGUGAUUUUUUCAGCACAGCCUCCACUGCAUCAUCAUCAGAAACCAAACCAUGGCCUGAUGUUGUAAAAGACGAGAUUCAGCUAUACAAAAUGUAAAGUAAUUUCUGCGGAUUCAAAUCCACUGAAAUGGUGGAAAGAUAAUGAGAACCAGUACCCAAAUUUGUCCAAGCUUGCCAAACGUUAUCUUGCUGUACAAGCAACAAGUGUGGCAAGUGAAAGAGUGUUCUCAACAGCUGGGGACAUUGUGACAUCUCAAAGAGCGGCCCUCUCCACAGAGAAUGUGGACAUUCUCAUUUUCUUAAAGAAGAACAUGAAACUAUAAAAAAAAAAUCUGCCCAUAUAAAUGUAAAUAGUUAAUAUUUUUGACAGUAUUUUUGCAAUAUUUUUAGCAGUUCUCUUUUCAUAUUCCUCUUUAACAAGAACUUGAAACUGCUAUUUUUUUGUGAACUUGAAUGUCAUCAUCUGUGAAGAAAACUGCACUUACAAAAGAGAAAUUAGAUGGCAGGUUAUUUUGUAUAAGUUUCCAAUUGACUGAAGAUAUAAGUUAUUGUUACAUUAUAUUGUUAAUAAACAUUUUAAAUUUGACAAUGUAGUGUGUGGUACAUUG